rnacentral:lncRNA from 1 species
CGAAUUCAAAGGAAUGAAGAAGGAGAAAAGUUGAGUGAAAUGGUAAUCGCUUGAUGUCUUCUGGGGGAAGCGAUGCUGGGGUUUGAUUUAUACAACACAUUUGGGUUAGGCGUUAACGGGUGUAAUGCUCUGGUAAAUAAGAGGAAGGGUUGAAAAGGGUUAAUAUAAAAAAUGGGUCCUUAUAAACUGAUGUGGCAUUUUAAUAAAGUCAUUGCAGGAUUUUAUGUUGCAACGUCAGAUUUCCGGUGAAUUUAAGUUGGGGCAACGGUAAGAAUGAGUUUAAAGUUAUAUUCUAUAAAGUGACAAAUAAAAAUUGAGUGAUUUUUGUAAAACUGAUAUUUUGUGGAAGCCCGGUUUCCAGAAGACAAAGGUAAUACAUACUUUGUUUUAGGUUUAUUUUGGAUAAUAUAUAUACUAAAUUUUUUGAACUGGGGAACGAC